rnacentral:rRNA from 1 species
AUACGGAGGGGGCUAGCGUUGUUCGGAAUUACUGGGCGUAAAGCGCGCGUAGGCGGACCAUCAAGUUGGGCGUGAAAGCCCUGGGCUCAACCCAGGAAUUGCGCUCGAAACUGGUGGACUAGAGUCCGGGAGAGGAUAGUGGAAUUCCCAGUGUAGAGGUGAAAUUCGUAGAUAUUGGGAAGAACACCAGUGGCGAAGGCGGCUAUCUGGACCGGUACUGACGCUGAGGUGCGAAAGCGUGGGGAGCAAACAGGAUUAGAAACCCGAGUAGUCC